rnacentral:rRNA from 1 species
GGAUAGCGGAGAAAUUCCAAUCGAACUCGGAGAUAGCUGGUUCUCCUCGAAAUAGCUUUAGGGCUAGCCUUGAGGUAAAGUCUAAUGGAGGUAAAGCACUGAUUGGACGCGGGUCCCCAAAAGGAUACCAACUUCUAUCAAACUCAGAAUGCCAUAUAGAUAUACUCAGGAGUCAGACUAUGUGAGAUAAGUUUCAUAGUCAAAAGGGAAAGAGCCCAGACCGACAGCUAAGGUCCCAAAGUGUGUGUUAAGUGGAAAAGGAUGUUAGGUUUCUAAGACAACUAGGAUGUUGGCUCAGAAGCAGCCACUCAUUUAAAGAGUGCGUAACAGCUCACUAGUCGAGAGGUCUAGCGCCGAAAAUGUCCGGGGCUAAAACACACCACCGAAGCUACGGAAUUACCUAUGGUAAUUGGUAGAGGAGCAUUCUGUAAGGAUGAAGCACAAUUGAAAGAGAGUGUGGACGAAACAGAAGAGAGAAUGCCGGAAUGAGUAGCGAGAUAUAUGUGAGAAUCAUAUAGGUCGAAUGUCUAAGGUUUCCUGGGUAAAGCUGAUCUGCUCAGGGUAAGUCGGGACCUAAGGUGAGGGCGAGAGCCGUAAUCGAUGGACAACAGGUAGAAAUUCCUGUACUACGUAUAAUCAGAACUGUGGGGACGCAGGAGGAUAGGAAAACCGGAGAAUGGAAAUAUCCGGCUAAGUACAAAGGUGUGAGUGAUAGGCAAAUCCGUCACUAUUAGCUGAAGUACGAAUGGGAGCGAAGAAAAGUAGCGAAGUUUCUGAAUCCACACUGUCAAGAAAAGCCGCUAUUGCGUUAUACGUACCCGUACCGCAAACCGACACAGGUAGACGAGGAGAAAAUCCACAGACCGACGGGAGAAGUGUUGUUAAGGAACUCGGCAAAAUGACCCCGUAACUUAGGGAUAAGGGGAGCCAACGCAAGUUGGUCACAGAAAAGAGGCUCAAGCGACUGUUUAGCAAAAACAUAGGUCUAUGCGAAACCGUAAGGUGAUGUAUAUGGGCUGACACCUGCCCGGUGCUGGAAGGUCAAAAGGAGAGGUUAGCGCAAGCGAAGCUUUGAAUUCAAGCCCCAGUAAACGGCGGCCGUAACUAUAACGGUCCUAAGGUAGCGAAAUUCCUUGUCAGGUAAGUUCUGACCCGCACGAAAGGUGUAACGAUUUGAGCACUGUCUCGACAACACGCCCGGUGAAAUUGAAGAACCAGUGAAGAUACUGGUUACCCGCAACAGGACGGAAAGACCCCAUGGAGCUUUACUGCAGCUUAAUAUUGGGAUUCGGUAUUGUAUGUACAGGAUAGGAGGGAGACUAAGAAGCUAGCACGCCAGUGUUGGUGGAGUCGAUGGUGGGAUACCUCUCUUAUAAUACUGAAUUUCUAACCUACUUCCGUGAUCCGGGAGAGGGACAUUGUUAGGCGGGCAGUUUGACUGGGGCGGUCGCCUCCGAAAGAGUAACGGAGGCGCUCAAAGGUCUUCUCAGAAUGAUUGGAAACCAUUCAAAGAGUGUAAAGGCAAAAGAAGGCUUGACUGCGAGGUCGACGGACCGAGCAGGUACGAAAGUAGGACUUAGUGAUCCGGUGGUAAUAAGUGGGAAUGCCAUCGCUCAACGGAUAAAAGCUACCCUGGGGAUAACAGGCUUAUCUCCCCCAAGAGUUCACAUCGACGGGGAGGUUUGGCACCUCGAUGUCGGCUCAUCGCAUCCUGGGGCUG